GACGAACGCUGGCGGCGUGCCUAAUACAUGCAAGUCGAGCGAGCGGAACUAACAGACUUACUUCGGUAAUGACGUUAGGAAAGCGAGCGGCGGAUGGGUGAGUAACACGUGGGGAACCUGCCCCAUAGUCUGGGAUACCACUUGGAAACAGGUGCUAAUACCGGAUAAGAAAGCAGAUCGCAUGAUCAGCUUUUAAAAGGCGGCGUAAGCUGUCGCUAUGGGAUGGCCCCGCGGUGCAUUAGCUAGUUGGUAAGGUAAAGGCUUACCAAGGCGAUGAUGCAUAGCCGAGUUGAGAGACUGAUCGGCCACAUUGGGACUGAGACACGGCCCAAACUCCUACGGGAGGCAGCAGUAGGGAAUCUUCCACAAUGGACGCAAGUCUGAUGGAGCAACGCCGCGUGAGUGAAGAAGGUUUUCGGAUCGUAAAGCUCUGUUGUUGGUGAAGAAGGAUAGAGGUAGUAACUGGCCUUUAUUUGACGGUAAUCAACCAGAAAGUCACGGCUAACUACGUGCCAGCAGCCGCGGUAAUACGUAGGUGGUAAGCGUUGUCCGGAUUCAUUGGGCGUAAAGCGAGCGCAGGCGGAAGAAUAAGUCUGAUGUGAAAGCCCUCGGCUUAACCGAGGAACUGCAUCGGAAACUGUUUUUCUUGAGUGCAGAAGAGGAGAGUGGAACUCCAUGUGUAGCGGUGGAAUGCGUAGAUAUAUGGAAGAACACCAGUGGCGAAGGCGGCUCCCUGGUCUGCAACUGACGCUGAGGCUCGAAAGCAUGGGUAGCGAACAGGAUUAGAUACCCUGGUAGUCCAUGCCGUAAACGAUGAGUGCUAAGUGUUGGGAGGUUUCCGCCUCUCAGUGCUGCAGCUAACGCAUUAAGCACUCCGCCUGGGGAGUACGACCGCAAGGUUGAAACUCAAAGGAAUUGACGGGGGCCCGCACAAGCGGUGGAGCAUGUGGUUUAAUUCGAAGCAACGCGAAGAACCUUACCAGGUCUUGACAUCUAGUGCCAUUUGUAGAGAUACAAAGUUCCCUUCGGGGACGCUAAGACAGGUGGUGCAUGGCUGUCGUCAGCUCGUGUCGUGAGAUGUUGGGUUAAGUCCCGCAACGAGCGCAACCCUUGUUAUUAGUUGCCAGCAUUAAGUUGGGCACUCUAAUGAGACUGCCGGUGACAAACCGGAGGAAGGUGGGGAUGACGUCAAGUCAUCAUGCCCCUUAUGACCUGGGCUACACACGUGCUACAAUGGGCAGUACAACGAGAAGCGAGCCUGCGAAGGCAAGCGAAUCUCUGAAAGCUGUUCUCAGUUCGGACUGCAGUCUGCAACUCGACUGCACGAAGCUGGAAUCGCUAGUAAUCGCGGAUCAGCACGCCGCGGUGAAUACGUUCCCGGGCCU
rnacentral:rRNA from 1 species